UUCGGGUUCCGGCUCCGGCUCGCCGCCGCCGCACGGUCCGCGAAACUCGCCCAGGAAUAGCUCCAGGAAGCGCCGAAAAAAUACUUCUGAGCUGAUUUGUCAAACUAACCACAAGAUGAAACCUGGAUACAAUCAUUGGUUUGCAGAAGGAACACAGAGUACUCACCUCCUUCUACAUGGCUAAUAAAUUAUUUCGAAGAGCUUUAGAAAAUGGCAUUCCUUGGCCACCUACUCAUUUCAGGUGCAUGCGCCCCAUCAUUUAAAUAUUCCAGAGAAUUUCCUAUGUAGCUAAAUAUGCAGUAAUAACAACACAUUUCUAUGUUUGCUCUAGGUGAUAUCAGACAAGGCAACAAAAGUGUCACUUCAUGGGUCACUGUAUAUCUCAUCCACAGGACUAGCUCUAAGAAACCUGUAAGUGUUCAUUCAGUAUAAUUAACCCAAUAUUCGGAGUUAUUAACUUGUUU
rnacentral:lncRNA from 1 species